UACGUAGGGUGCGAGCGUUAAUCGGAAUUACUGGGCGUAAAGGGUGCGCAGGCGGUUAUAUAAGACAGAUGUGAAAUCCCCGGGCUCAACCUGGGAACUGCGUUUGUGACUGUAUGACUAGAGUACGGUAGAGAGGGGUGGAAUUCCUGGUGUAGCAGUGAAAUGCGUAGAUAUCAGGAGGAAUACCGAUGGCGAAGGCAGGUCUCUGGGCUGACACUGACGCUCAUGCACGAAAGCGUGGGGAGCAAACAGG
rnacentral:rRNA from 1 species